rnacentral:rRNA from 1 species
AUUGUCGAUGAUCCACGAUAUACCUCACCAUUUUUUGCCUUUCCCAGCCUGUAUACCUCCGUCGAAAACUCACCAUAUGAAUGUACUAAAGUAGGUCUAAUUGCCUCACACGCCAACACGUCAGGUCAAGGCGCAGCCUAUAAAAUGGAAAGCAGCGGGCUACAAUUUCUAAUAUAAAACAAACGAAAUACUACAUGAAACAUAGUCAUGAAGGAGGAUUUAGUAGUAAAAGAAAGACAGCAAACUUCUUU